rnacentral:rRNA from 1 species
AUGGAGUUCUCCAUUGCUAAUCUACCACCUGCAGAUUGGAGUACAAAAGGUGUAGGCAUUGUAGAGGCAGGGGAAGGCAGGCUUGGGAUUUUGGGAUUCGAUGGUGACUUUACAUCUCAUCUCAGCUAUGCCGUUGCACGAAAUAAAGGCGAGAGUCCCAUCCAGUGGCAGAUGGAGAAGACAAUCUCACUAGAUUCUGGAUACAAACAUUUUAUUGAUGCUGCAACUGAGAGGCACUUGCUCUUGACAAGGAAACCAGCCUCAUCUGUACAUAGUUUACUCGUUGAUGAAUAUUUCUCAAUGGACGCCAAGACGUUGCAGCUACAGAGGGUUUGUGCCAAACAAUUUUCGCCUAGAUUCGAUGUACUCUUCGUCAGAUCUGCUUUCCAAGUUCAAAGGCACCAUGGUUUCGGUAGCAUGGAGUUCUCGCAGAUGUGA